ACGCUCGACACCUACGAGGCAGCAGUGGGGAAUAUUGCACAAUGGGGGAAACCCUGAUGCAGCGACGCCGCGUGAGCGAAGAAGUAUUUCGGUAUGUAAAGCUCUAUCAGCAGGAAAGAAGAAAGACGGUACCUGACUAAGAAGCCCCGGCUAACUACGUGCCAGCAGCCGCGGUAAUCUGAGGCGGGCUGGCAAGGC
rnacentral:rRNA from 1 species